rnacentral:rRNA from 1 species
UACGUAGGGUGCGGAGCGUUAAUCGGAAUUACUGGGCGUAAAGCGUGCGUAGGCGGUUCGUUAAGUCAGCUGUGAAAGCCCCGGGCUCAACCUGGGAAUUGCGGUUGAAACUGGCGAACUAGAAUCUGGCAGAGGGGGGUGGAAUUCCACGUGUAGCAGUGAAAUGCGUAGAGAUGUGGAGGAACACCGAUGGCGAAGGCAGCCCCCUGGGCUGAGAUUGACGCUCAGGCACGAAAGCGUGGGGAGCAAACAGG